UAACCAGGAACACCCCAUGAUUCC
rnacentral:miRNA from 1 species